rnacentral:rRNA from 1 species
UACGAAGGGUGCAAGCGUUACUCGGAAUUACUGGGCGUAAAGCGUGCGUAGGUGGUUCGUUAAGUCCGAUGUGAAAGCCCUGGGCUCAACCUGGGAAUGGCAUUGGAUACUGGCGGGCUAGAGUGCGGUAGAGGGCAGUGGAAUUCCCGGUGUAGCAGUGAAAUGCGUAGAGAUCGGGAGGAACAUCUGUGGCGAAGGCGACUGCCUGGACCAGCACUGACACUGAGGCACGAAAGCGUGGGGAGCAAAC